rnacentral:rRNA from 1 species
GAACCAGCGGUGGGCCGUGAGGAGGACAGGCGGCGGUGAGGCGCGAGUCGAGGAGUUUCAGCGGCCCGAGCUCAAGAAAAACGAACAAUGACGCUACCGUCUACCAACCAGUGUGCAAUUUAGCUUCGGCUUCUCUUUCUUAGCCUAUAGCCUACUCCUCCUCCUCCUUCUCUCCUCCUCCUUCUCUCCUCCUCCUCCCUCCUCCUACGCCUUCUCUCCUCCUCCUCAGUCCUCCUGCUCUACUCCUCCCUCCUCCUGUUCUCCUCCUCCCUCCUCCUGCGCUCCUCCUCCCUCCUCCUGCUCUCCUCCUCCGUCCUCCUGCUCUCCUCUCUCCUCCUGCUAGCCUCCUCCUCCGUCCUCCAACUGCAUGAGUUGCACCCUCCUGAGUUGUAACCCUUGGGUGUCGGUCAGGUUCUGGGCUAGACCCAAUUCCCUUCCAGUUAACGACUCAAUUUCUACUUCUACUUAUAAUAGUUCCUUCUCCUACGGUUUUUUCUGCGACGAUUCCGUUUUCGCCGGCCCUUCUUUCACCUCCUCCGUCAACGACGUCUCCUUAACCAAGUCGUUCGAUUAUGUUCUAAGAGAAACCUCAAGCCUCCAAAGGAGCGUUGAAAGUUCUUCCUCCUAAGACUUCUAAAGGUCAUAGGACGAGUUUAACUCUGAUACUUCUCUGAUUUGAGUAUACAAAACUUACAACUAAAAGACUUAUAAAACAGGCUAUUCUUCAUGUUCUCGAACCGAUAAGCUGAACCCCUCUCAUGACUUAUGGAGACCAAUGUAGCCCAGUAACGCCUUAAGAACUAACGUUUACCAUACCUAUUACUCCUACAGUGACACAACUGCGUCUUUCAAGGCAACAGAAAGUGGUUAAACGUGUCAGAGUUCCGAGAUUUCCGAGUGUACGCUUCGUUCGGUACAACCUUUUGGUGUUUCUUGUUACUCUUUUGCCAAUGACGUGUACCGGCGUUCAGUAAGAGCGAUGAGUAUAGCCUGCACGAUUUGUUCUUGUUUCUUUUGUAUUCAAUGUUGCCGUUCAAGUUGCUCCUACUGUAGGAAGAACCUCUCUGAAAAACAACCUAUAUGUCGGUCGUCAAUCUCUUAGUUGGGUGAGUCGAUACAACGUCUAGAGUCGAGGUAAACCUGACAGUACCUUGGAAAGAUACUCGAAUCACACCCAUCACUUUGAAUAGGGGUCUUGAAUUGACUUGAGUACCUGUCAGAGGAAAACAACCCAUAAGGGUAGAGACUUCAGUCUUCACUUCUUAUAUAGCUAAAGUACUACGUAGUAGGGAGUUAACGAAGUAGCUAUCGUUUCGCAUGAAAAUAAUGUCUCGACGCAUCUCGUCACGCCCUACUUCCCGAACUCUUACUUGGUAAGAAUAGUGCGUAUGGUUAACCACGUACCGUUCUCACCCGUUUCUUCACCAGUUUCUUGUCCACCUGACUUGGUAAGUUUCUAAUUGAAAGAGGACAGGAUUCUCCGCAAAUGACCAUACUAGGGUUACAACCGCUCUCGUGGAGUUUCCCAGUCGUUCCGGGUCGGUUCUGGCGACCAUUUCCGGUCAAUUGAAGGUAGGGGUUUCCCGAAGGUGUUCAGUUCUUCUAGUCGCGGUUCCCACACCGUUGAAGGUCGGUCCUUUCCUUCCUUUACAUAGGGUUAUGUCAUACCCCGUACGAACUGAUGUUUUCUACACAGUAACUCGUACCUUUCUUCGUACCACUUCCGCUCAAACAGAUACUUUCACGCUCGAGACACCUUUAGGUGCGGAGUCCCGUAAAGAAUCCCGAGGAACGAAUGGAGUACAUGUGCUACAGCUUCUUGCUAGAAAAAGCUUCUCCGUCAGCCAAACGUAGAGAGAAGCUUUGCAUGUUUUGUAACAAACCCCGACGACUACUAAUCUUCUCGAUACCACUCGUAUCCUAACCCUUUCUGACUAGUCCUAUCCACGGAACUAGAUUGGUCUCUUCUGAGUAAUCUCCUCCUCCUUUAGACCUGACCUACUUCGAACUACAGUAUUGUGACUAGACAAAAAGAAUGAUUAAUCGAAUACUCCUGGAUAGUCUCCGAUGGAUAUCAUGAGGGAGGCAGAGUAUUAUAUUCUCGCAAACAUAGCCGUACGACCGGCGAAACGACUGUAAUGUAAGGUUGAUCCUAAAUAGUAUCUCAGCUCAAUAAUCAAGGAACAGAAACAACUACGUGAGCUGAAAAGGUGAGUAGUCAGAUCGUAAAGCCAGGUAAUAAAACAACGACACAAUCACGCACAAUUUGACAAUUACGAGUGGUCAACGUAUAUCGAAUCCGACGCAAACCAAUCACCCUAUCUAAAUCCACCAACACCCAU